UUAGCGACGGUGGUUCGUCGUGUAAGAAUCUAGAGAAAUUCAUUGAUCAUCUUAGUAGGAGAUGAAGGAUUGAUUGUUAUUGUUGAUGAUUCUAAAAUUUACAUUUUCAUGGCUAGGUGAUGAUUAUUAUUGUUAUUGUCGUGGUUAUUAUUUCUAUAUGGAUGUAUAUAUAUUAUAGAACGAAAAGCAAGGAAUUGAAGAUGCUGAAUUGUAGAUGGGGAC
rnacentral:lncRNA from 1 species